GACGAACGCUGGCGGCGUGCCUAAUACAUGCAAGUAGAACGCUGAAGGAGGAGCUUGCUUCUCUGGAUGAGUUGCGAACGGGUGAGUAACGCGUAGGUAACCUGCCUGGUAGCGGGGGAUAACUAUUGGAAACGAUAGCUAAUACCGCAUAAUAGUAGAUGUUGCAUGACAUUUGCUUAAAAGGUGCAAUUGCAUCACUACCAGAUGGACCUGCGUUGUAUUAGCUAGUUGGUGGGGUAACGGCUCACCAAGGCGACGAUACAUAGCCGAUCUGAGAGGGGGCUCGGCCACACUGGGACUGAGACACGGCCCAGACUCCUACGGGAGGCAGCAGUAGGGAAUCUUCGGCAAUGGACGGAGGUCUGACCGAGCAACGCCGCGUGAGUGAAGAAGGUUUUCGGAUCGUAAAGCUCUGUUGUAAGAGAAGAACGAGUGUGAGAGUGGAAAGUUCACACUGUGACGGUAUCUUACCAGAAAGGGACGGCUAACUACGUG
rnacentral:rRNA from 1 species